rnacentral:rRNA from 1 species
GGCGUGCCUAAUACAUGCAAGUCGAGCGAAUCAGAUGGGAGCUUGCUCCCGGAUGAUUAGCGGCGGACGGGUGAGUAACACGUGGGCAACCUGCCCGUAAGAUUGGGAUAACUCCGGGAAACCGGUGCUAAUACCGAAUAGUUUCUGACACCUCAUGGUGUCAGAGGGAAAGUUGGCUUCGGCUAACACUUACGGAUGGGCCCGCGGCGCAUUAGCUAGUUGGUGAGGUAACGGCUCACCAAGGCGACGAUGCGUAGCCGACCUGAGAGGGUGAUCGGCCACACUGGGACUGAGACACGGCCCAGACUCCUACGGGAGGCAGCAGUAGGGAAUCUUCCGCAAUGGACGAAAGCCUGAUGCAGCGACGCCGCGUGAGGGAUGACGGCCUUCGGGCUGUAAACCUCUUUCAGCAGGGACGAAGCGCAAGUGACGGUACCUGCAGAAGAAGCACCGGCCCAACUACGUGCCAGCAGCCGCGGUAAUACGUAGGGUGCGAGCGUUGUCCGGAAUUUACUGGGGCGUAAAAAACUCGUAGGCGGUUUGUCCCGUCCUCCGUGAAAUCCCGCAGCUCAACUGCGGGCUUGCAGGCGAUACGGGCAGACUCGAGUACUGCAGGGGAGACUGGAAUUCCUGGUGUAGCGGUGAAAUGCGCAGAUAUCAGGAGGAACACCGGUGGCGAAGGCGGGUCUCUGGGCAGUAACUGACGCUGAGGAGCGAAAGCGUGGGUAGCGAACAGGAUUAGAUACCCUGGUAGUCCACGCCGUAAACGGUGGGCGCUAGGUGUGGGUUUCCUUCCACGGGAUCCGUGCCGUAGCCAACGCAUUAAGCGCCCCGCCUGGGGAGUACGGCCGCAAGGCUAAAACUCAAAGGAAUUGACGGGGGCCCGCACAAGCGGCGGAGCAUGUGGAUUAAUUCGAUGCAACGCGAAGAACCUUACCUGGGUUUGACAUAUACCGGACGACUGCAGAGAUGUGGUUUCCCUUGUGGUCGGUAUACAGGUGGUGCAUGGUUGUCGUCAGCUCGUGUCGUGAGAUGUUGGGUUAAGUCCCGCAACGAGCGCAACCCCUAUCGUUAGUUGCUAGCAGGUAAUGCUGAGAACUCUAGCGAGACUGCCGGUGAUAAAUCGGAGGAAGGUGGGGAUGACGUCAAAUCAUCAUGCCCUUUAUGUCCUGGGCUACACACGUACUACAAUGGCCGUAACAGAGGGAAGCAAUAUAGUGAUAUGGAGCAAAACCCUAAAAGCGGUCUCAGUUCGGAUUGAAGGCUGAAAUUCGCCUUCAUGAAGCUGGAAUUGCUAGUAAUGGAAGGUCAGCAUACUGCCGUGAAUACGUUCCCGGGC